CCUACGGGCGGCUGCAGUGGGGAAUAUUGGACAAUGGGGGAAACCCUGAUCCAGCAACGCCGCGUGGAGGAUGAAGGUCUUCGGAUUGUAAACUCCUGUUAGGGGGGACGAAGGGAUGUCGGCGAACAGUCGGCAAACUUGACGGUACCCCCAGAGGAAGCCCCGGCUAACUCUGUGCCAGCAGCCGCGGUAAUACAGAGGGGGCAAGCGUUAUUCGGAAUUAUUGGGCGUAAAGGGCGCGUAGGCGGCCUUGUAAGUCUUGGGUGAAAUCCCUCAGCUCAACUGAGGAACUGCCUCGGAUACUGCAAGGCUUGAGGCCGGGAGAGGGUAGUGGAAUUCCCAGUGUAGCGGUGAAAUGCGUAGAUAUUGGGAGGAACACCGGUGGCGAAGGCGGCUACCUGGACCGGUUCUGACGCUGAUGCGCGAAAGCGUGGGGAGCAAACAGGAUUAGAUACCCCAGUAGUC
rnacentral:rRNA from 1 species